GCGAAAGUGGCGGAACUGGCAGACGCGCUGGACUUAGGAUCCAGUGGGCAACCGUGGGGGUUCGAGUCCCCCCUUUCGCACCA
rnacentral:tRNA from 1 species